rnacentral:rRNA from 1 species
CACCGGCGGCCCGAGUGGUAGCCGCUAUUAUUGGGUCUAAAGGGUCCGUAGCCGGUUCGGUAAGUCCUUUGGGAAAUCUGGUUGCUUAACAAUCAGACUGCCAAGGGAUACUGCUGAACUUGAGACCGGGAGAGGUAAGAGGUACUUCAGGGGUAGGAGUGAAAUCUUGUGAUCCCUGGGGGACCAUCUGUGGCGAAGGCGUCUUACCAGAACGGGUCUGACGGUGAGGGACGAAAGCUGGGGGCGCAAACCGG